rnacentral:rRNA from 1 species
GUGUACCCGCGGCAAGACGGAAAGACCCCGUGAACCUUUACUAUAGCUUGACACUGAACAUUGAGCCUUGAUGUGUAGGAUAGGUGGGAGGCUUUGAAGUGUGGACGCCAGUCUGCAUGGAGCCGACCUUGAAAUACCACCCUUUAAUGUUUGAUGUUCUAACGUGGACCCGUAAUCCGGGUUGCGGACAGUGUCUGGUGGGUAGUUUGACUGGGGCGGUCUCCUCCUAAAGAGUAACGGAGGAGCACGAAGGUUGGCUAAUCCUGGUCGGACAU